rnacentral:rRNA from 1 species
CAGCCGCCACGGGAAUACGUAGGUGGCAAGCGUUGUCCGGAAUUAUUGGGCGUAAAGCGCGCGCAGGUGGUUUAAUAAGUCUGAUGUGAAAGCCCACGGCUCAACCGUGGAGAGUCAUUGGAAACUGUUAAACUUGAGUGCAGGGGAGAAAAGUGGAAUUCCUAGUGUAGCGGUGAAAUGCGUAGAGAUUAGGAGGAACACCAGUGGCGAAGGCGGCUUUUUGGCCUGUAACUGACACUGAGGCGCGAAAGCGUGGGGAGCAAACAGGAUUAGAUACCCCGGUAGUCCCUGUCUCUUAUAC